rnacentral:misc_RNA from 1 species
GAUAGAUUUAAUUUCAAACAAUAAGAAAGAAAUUUAGUCGCCCAUAAAAGGUAUCUCAAAGAGCCGGGUUUACCGGCUCUUAAAAUGAAUAAUCCAAUCGUGGAUCCGCCAUCAGUAACAGAUGGCGGAUCACAACCAUCGGAGCAAAUGUUUGGUUCACCAAUUCAAUUAAGUCCCCCCGAUAAAAUUAAUGAAAAUUCACACAACAAUGAUAAUAACAGAUAUUGUUGUAUGGAUUUACCCCCAUAUGUAGUAUAUGUGGAAUCCUUGGAUAAGAGUAUUGGAAACUUGCAUGAUAUGCAAGUAGGCAAAAAACUGUUUGAAAGCGGUUUAAGAGGAAUCUUGAGAGUGGACAAAAGAGGGAGAAACAGGAUUGAGGCUGAGUUUAACAAUUAUAACAAUGCUAAUGAAUUUUUAUCAUGUUUUUUAGUCAAAAAAGAAAACUGGAGGGCAUUCAUCCCCUCACACAGAGUAACAUGCAAAGGAAUUAUUCGGGGUGUCGAUACCUCAUUAUCAGAAGAAACAAUUUUAAAAUUAAUAAAAACGGAAAAUAGACGUGAAGUUUUACAUAUCAGAAGAUUAAAAAGAAAAACAACCAAUGAACAAGGAGAAAUAAUAUUUGUAACAACAGGAACUAUUGUCGCUACGUUUGCAGAUAUGGACAUACAAAAACGUUGUGCAAGUCGCAGAAGAGAUGUUCUAGGUGUUCUGAUCAUCACGAUUUACAUAUGUGUCAAAGCGACAUCAUAAAAUGUAUUCAUUGUGGACAACCACACCUUUCUACUGAGGCUGGUACUCCGUUAGCAAACAGAGUGUGCCCAGAAUACUUACGCCAAAAGAAAAUAAAAGAAAUUAUGGCCACUCAUAAUUACUCGGCUUAUGAAGCUAAUCUACUAAUAAAGAACCCUGAACAAGUGCAGCUAGAGAAAAACAUUAGAAAUAUAUACCACACUGAUUUUCCUCCUCUAAAGAAAGAUGACGUUAUACAGAGGACAAUCAAUUUUGCUGCUAGCACAGCGCCUCGAAGACAAGUGGUGGACUACUCUGAUAUAGUCAAAAAACAAACACAACAAAAAAUCACUGGAACUACUCCAAAAAACUCAACAAUGACCUCACCAACGAUGGGAUAUAAAAGUCAAGAGAGCUCUAAACGAAAGUUUCCUGCCUCCCCAGAAGAAAAAACUCACAACAAAAUAAAAAAUCCACACAAAAAGCCACCUGGUAAUAUGUCUACACGAGGUGUAGCAUUUACAAAAGAAAUCAGAACUCCACUUACCUUUACAAAAGAAUCUCAAGACCCAAUAUCAGAGUCAGAAGGUGAAGAAACAUUUACAAAUUUAAAUAAUUUAGUAAUGCAAGACAGAAGAAGACAAAGAGUAUUUCUAGAAGAAGAAAUUCCUAUCGAUGAGGACAUUACUUUGGAAUUCGAGGGGUCUUGCCAAGAAUAAAGGAAUAAUACCUAACAUUCCUGUCCGAGGGGCAUCCUAAAGACCUAUGUGAAAUGAGUCUCAGCCCUCAGACUCGAGAAGAGUUUAUGUUGACUGGGAGGUAAUAAGGACAAGUAUCCAAAUCCCAUUGCCAAGCCUUAUCAUUGUGAAGA